GGGGAAUAUUGCACAAUGGAGGAAACUCUGAUGCAGCAACGCCGCGUGAGUGAAGAAGGCCUUCGGGUCGUAAAACUCUGUUGCCGGGGAAGAACAAGUGCCGUUCGAACAGGGCGGCGCCUUGACGGUACCCGGCCAGAAAGCCACGGCUAACUACGUGCCAGCAGCCGCGGUAAUACGUAGGUGGCAAGCGUUGUCCGGAAUUAUUGGGCGUAAAGCGCGCGCAGGCGGCUUCUUAAGUCUGAUGUGAAAUCUUGCGGCUCAACCGCAGGCGGUCAUUGGAAACUGGGAGGCUUGAGUGCAGAAGAGGAGAGUGGAAUUCCACGUGUAGCGGUGAAAUGCGUAGAGAUGUGGAGGAACACCAGUGGCGAAGGCGGCUCUCUGGUCUGUAACUGACGCUGAGGCGCGAAAGCGUGGGGAGCAAAC
rnacentral:rRNA from 1 species